GACGUGCUAAUCUGCGAUAAGCGUCGGUAAGGUGAUAUGAACCGUUAUAACCGGCGAUUUCCGAAUGGGGAAACCCAGUGUGUUUCGACACACUAUCAUUAACUGAAUCCAUAGGUUAAUGAGGCGAACCGGGGGAACUGAAACAUCUAAGUACCCCGAGGAAAAGAAAUCAACCGAGAUUCCCCCAGUAGCGGCGAGCGAACGGGGAGCAGCCCAGAGCCUGAAUCAGUGUGUGUGUUAGUGGAAGCGUCUGGAAAGGCGCGCGAUACAGGGUGACAGCCCCGUACACAAAAAUGCACAUGCUGUGAGCUCGAUGAGUAGGGCGGGACACGUGGUAUCCUGUCUGAAUAUGGGGGGACCAUCCUCCAAGGCUAAAUACUCCUGACUGACCGAUAGUGAACCAGUACCGUGAGGGAAAGGCGAAAAGAACCCCGGCGAGGGGAGUGAAAAAGAACCUGAAACCGUGUACGUACAAGCAGUGGGAGCCUCUUUAUGGGGUGACUGCGUACCUUUUGUAUAAUGGGUCAGCGACUUAUAUUCUGUAGCAAGGUUAACCGAAUAGGGGAGCCGAAGGGAAACCGAGUCUUAACUGGGCGUUAAGUUGCAGGGUAUAGACCCGAAACCCGGUGAUCUAGCCAUGGGCAGGUUGAAGGUUGGGUAACACUAACUGGAGGACCGAACCGACUAAUGUUGAAAAAUUAGCGGAUGACUUGUGGCUGGGGGUGAAAGGCCAAUCAAACCGGGAGAUAGCUGGUUCUCCCCGAAAGCUAUUUAGGUAGCGCCUCGUGAAUUCAUCUCCGGGGGUAGAGCACUGUUUCGGCAAGGGGGUCAUCCCGACUUACCAACCCGAUGCAAACUGCGAAUACCGGAGAAUGUUAUCACGGGAGACACACGGCGGGUGCUAACGUCCGUCGUGAAGAGGGAAACAACCCAGACCGCCAGCUAAGGUCCCAAAGUCAUGGUUAAGUGGGAAACGAUGUGGGAAGGCCCAGACAGCCAGGAUGUUGGCUUAGAAGCAGCCAUCAUUUAAAGAAAGCGUAAUAGCUCACUGGUCGAGUCGGCCUGCGCGGAAGAUGUAACGGGGCUAAACCAUGCACCGAAGCUGCGGCAGCGACGCUUAUGCGUUGUUGGGUAGGGGAGCGUUCUGUAAGCCUGUGAAGGUGUGCUGUGAGGCAUGCUGGAGGUAUCAGAAGUGCGAAUGCUGACAUAAGUAACGAUAAAGCGGGUGAAAAGCCCGCUCGCCGGAAGACCAAGGGUUCCUGUCCAACGUUAAUCGGGGCAGGGUGAGUCGACCCCUAAGGCGAGGCCGAAAGGCGUAGUCGAUGGGAAACAGGUUAAUAUUCCUGUACUUGGUGUUACUGCGAAGGGGGGACGGAGAAGGCUAUGUUGGCCGGGCGACGGUUGUCCCGGUUUAAGCGUGUAGGCUGAUUUUCCAGGCAAAUCCGGAAAAUCAAGGCUGAGGCGUGAUGACGAGGCACUACGGUGCUGAAGCAACAAAUGCCCUGCUUCCAGGAAAAGCCUCUAAGCAUCAGGUAACAUCAAAUCGUACCCCAAACCGACACAGGUGGUCAGGUAGAGAAUACCAAGGCGCUUGAGAGAACUCGGGUGAAGGAACUAGGCAAAAUGGUGCCGUAACUUCGGGAGAAGGCACGCUGAUAUGUAGGUGAAGUCCCUCGCGGAUGGAGCUGAAAUCAGUCGAAGAUACCAGCUGGCUGCAACUGUUUAUUAAAAACACAGCACUGUGCAAACACGAAAGUGGACGUAUACGGUGUGACGCCUGCCCGGUGCCGGAAGGUUAAUUGAUGGGGUCAGCGCAAGCGAAGCUCUUGAUCGAAGCCCCGGUAAACGGCGGCCGUAACUAUAACGGUCCUAAGGUAGCGAAAUUCCUUGUCGGGUAAGUUCCGACCUGCACGAAUGGCGUAAUGAUGGCCAGGCUGUCUCCACCCGAGACUCAGUGAAAUUGAACUCGCUGUGAAGAUGCAGUGUACCCGCGGCAAGACGGAAAGACCCCGUGAACCUUUACUAUAGCUUGACACUGAACAUUGAGCCUUGAUGUGUAGGAUAGGUGGGAGGCUUUGAAGUGUGGACGCCAGUCUGCAUGGAGCCGGCCUUGAAAUACCACCCUUUAAUGUUUGAUGUUCUAACGUGGACCCGUAAUCCGGGUUGCGGACAGUGUCUGGUGGGUAGUUUGACUGGGGCGGUCUCCUCCUAAAGAGUAACGGAGGAGCACGAAGGUUGGCUAAUCCUGGUCGGACAUCAGGAGGUUAGUGCAAUGGCAUAAGCCAGCUUGACUGCGAGCGUGACGGCGCGAGCAGGUGCGAAAGCAGGUCAUAGUGAUCCGGUGGUUCUGAAUGGAAGGGCCAUCGCUCAACGGAUAAAAGGUACUCCGGGGAUAACAGGCUGAUACCGCCCAAGAGUUCAUAUCGACGGCGGUGUUUGGCACCUCGAUGUCGGCUCAUCACAUCCUGGGGCUGAAGUAGGUCCCAAGGGUAUGGCUGUUCGCCAUUUAAAGUGGUACGCGAGCUGGGUUUAGAACGUCGUGAGACAGUUCGGUCCCUAUCUGCCGUGGGCGCUGGAGAACUGAGGGGGGCUGCUCCUAGUACGAGAGGACCGGAGUGGACGCAUCACUGGUGUUCGGGUUGUCAUGCCAAUGGCACUGCCCGGUAGCUAAAUGCGGAAGAGAUAAGUGCUGAAAGCAUCUAAGCACGAAACUUGCCCCGAGAUGAGUUCUCCCUGACCCUUUAAGGGUCCUGAAGGAACGUUGAAGACGACGACGUUGAUAGGCCGGGUGUGUAAGCGCAGCGAUGCGUUGAGCUAACCGGUACUAAUGAACCGUGAGGCUUAACCUUACAACGCCGAAG
rnacentral:rRNA from 1 species